AUUGAACGCUGGCGGCAUGCUUUACACAUGCAAGUCGAACGGUAACAGGCCGCAAGGUGCUGACGAGUGGCGAACGGGUGAGUAAUGCAUCGGAACGUGCCCAGUCGUGGUGGAUAACGCAGCGAAAGCUGCGCUAAUACCGCAUACGAUCUCUGGAUGAAAGCGGGGGACCGAAAGGCCUCGCGCGAUUGGAGCGGCCGAUGUCAGAUUAGGUAGUUGGUGGGGUAAAGGCUCACCAAGGCAACGAUCUGUAGCUGGUCUGAGAGGACGACCAGCCACACUGGGACUGAGACACGGCCCAGACUCCUACGGGAGGCAGCAGUGGGGAAUUUUGGACAAUGGGCGCAAGCCUGAUCCAGCAAUGCCGCGUGCAGGAAAAAGGCCUUCGGGUUGUAAACUGCUUUUGUACGGAACGAAACGGUCCUGGUUAAUACCUGGGGCUAAUGACGGUACCGUAAGAAUAGGCACCGGCUAACUACGUGCCAGCCGCCGCGGUAAAAC
rnacentral:rRNA from 1 species